rnacentral:rRNA from 1 species
UACAGAGGGUGCAAGCGUUAAUCGGAAUUACUGGGCGUAAAGCGCGCGUAGUCGGUUAUUUAAGUCGGGUGUGAAAGCCCCGGGCUCAACCUGGGAAUUGCAUUCGAUACUGGAUAGCUAGAGUUCGGCAGAGGGAAGCGGAAUUUCCGGUGUAGCGGUGAAAUGCGUAGAUAUCGGAAGGAACAUCAGUGGCGAAAGCGGCUUCCUGGACCAGAACUGACGAUCAGGCACGAAAGCGUGGGGAGCAAAAGGG